GGGGUUGUAGCUCAGCGGUGCAGUGCCUGCCUGGCAAGCAUCGAGGCCCUGAGUUUGAUUCCCAGUAACCCCC
rfam:Heterocephalus glaber contig115298, whole genome shotgun sequence.